UCCCCGAUAAAAUCGGGGCUGUUCCCCGUGAGAAUGCAACACAGGGUAGGGGUUGCGCUCGUUUGCCGACUGAACGGAACAUCUCACGACACGAGCUGACGACGACCGUGCAUCACCUGUCAUCUGGCUCCCGAAGGCACCCCCGCAUUUCUGCAGGGUUCCAGAGAUGUCAAGUCCUGGUAAGGUUCCUCGCUUAUCGUCGAAUUAAACCACAUGCUCCACCGCUUGUGCGAGCCCCCGUCAAUUCCUUUGAGUUUUAGCCUUGCGGCCGUACUUCCCAGGCGGUGCACUUACCGCGUUAGCUGCGCUACAGAAAGGGUCGAUACUCCCCAUAGCUAGUGCACAUCGUUUACGGCGUGGACUAC
rnacentral:misc_RNA from 1 species